AUCACUUUUUAGCAAAGUUGCACUGGACAAAAGGUACCACAAUUGGUGUACUGAUACCCGACACAGCAUUAGUGUCGAUUUUUCAUAUAAAGGUAAUUUUGAUGUCUAAGAUUAAAGGUAACGUUAAGUGGUUUAAUGAGUCCAAAGGAUUCGGUUUCAUUACUCCGGAAGAUGGCAGCAAAGAUGUAUUCGUACACUUCUCUGCAAUCCAGUCCAACGGUUUCAAAACUCUGGCUGAAGGUCAGCGCGUAGAGUUCGAAAUCACUAACGGUGCCAAAGGCCCUUCUGCUGCAAACGUCAUCGCUCUGUAAGCAACGCGUCAGUAGAAUAUAAAAACCCGCUAAUAAGCGGGUUUUUUUUU
rfam:Klebsiella pneumoniae subsp. pneumoniae DSM 30104 Contig0007, whole genome shotgun sequence.